rnacentral:rRNA from 1 species
GGGUAGGGGGUGUGAGAGCAUGGCCCCCCACAAUGGGACUGGAACACGGNCCAUACUCCUACGGGAGGCAGCAGCAGGGAAUAUUGCACAAUGGACGGAAGUCUGAUGCAGCGACGCCGCGUGGAUGAAGAAGGCCCUCGGGUUGUAAAAUCCUUUACAGGGGGAAGAGGAAGGACGGUACCCCUGGAACAAGUGUCGGCUAACUACGUGCCAGCAGCCGCGGUAAGACGUAGGACACAAGCGUUAUCCGGAUUUACUGGGCGUAAAGCGUCUGCAGGCGGACAGGUAAGUUGGGCGUGAAAGCUCCGGGCCCAACCCGGAGAGGUCGUUCAAUACUGCGUGUCUAGAGGGUGUCAGAGGGGAGUGGAAUUUCCGGAGUAGCGGUAAAAUGCGCAGAGAUCGGAAAGAACACCAAUGGCGAAGGCAGCUCCCUGGGGCAACCCUGACGCUAAGAGACGAAAGCUAGGGGAGCGAACAGGAUUAGAGACCCUGGUAGUCCUAGCCCUAAACGAUGGAUGCUGGAUGUGGGGCCAUAGCGCUCCGUGUCGAAGCGAACGCGUUAAGCAUCCCGCCUGGGGACUACGGCCGCAAGGUUAAAACUCAAAUGAAUUGACGGGACCCCGCACAAGCAGCGGAGCGUGUGGUUUAAUUCGAAGCUACACGAAGAACCUUACCUGGGUUUGACAUCUAGGUGGUAGUGAAGCGAAAGCGGAGCGACCCUUCGGGGAGCCUAGACAGGUGCUGCAUGGCUGUCGUCAGCUCGUGCCGUGAGGUGUCGGGUUAAGUCCCGUAACGAGCGCAACCCUUGCCCUCCGUUAUACGUGUCAGAGGGGACUGCCGGCGGUAAGCCGGAGGAAGGUGGGGAUGACGUCAAGUCAGCAUGGCCUUUAUAUCCAGGGCUACACACACGCUACAAUGGCCAGUACAAAGGGCAGCGAAGCCGCGAGGUGGAGCGAAUCCCAGCAAAGCUGGUCGUAGUUCGGAUUGCAGGCUGCAACCCGCCUGCAUGAAGCUGGAGUUGCUAGUAACCGCGCGUCAGC